AUGGCUUAGGGAAUAAUGAAGAGAAGGAAAAGAUCACGUACAUGUUUAAUAUAGCCCCAGGUAUAUGUAGUUGGUUGAAUCCUGGGAUGCGGUUCCCGUGGAUACAGAGGGCAGCUGCUCUGACCAGAUAUAAGUCACGGACAUAUUACCACUGAAGCUAUGGGAUUUGUUUGCAUGGCUCAGGCCUUCCCAGUGCCAUCUUUCCGCUCUGACAACCUAAAGCAGUACAGUGUAUUUGUUGCAGCUCCUAAGUCUCUUCUGGUCCAUUGGAGUUUUCAGAUUUUCCUCGAAUUCCCUGACCUUGAAAGCCAGGACCUGUGCUGGCCAGCACACUUAGUGUAGCUGUCCCUCAGACUGGGUUUAUCCGAUGUUUUCUCAAAUCUAGUCAGGGCCUUUCUAGUUCCUGCGUGGAAGAGGUGCUCUCUCUGCACUGUAUCAGGACCUGUAGGUUACCCAUGUGACAUUUUUCAGCCACGAUGCCAUGAUGGCCUUGAACACUGGGUAAGUGGGUGUCUGCCAAGUAAUUGCAACCCCCCCCCCUUGGCAAGGGGCUUUUAGGCCGGGCAGUGGUGGUACACGCCUUUAAACCCAGCACUUGGGAGGCAAAGGCAGGUGGCAAGGGGCUUUUAACAUGGUGGCAAAGGCAAAAUUAUACAGGAAAUGGUUGCUAGAUUAGGUUUCUAAGAUGAAAGCAUUUGGUAAACUGAGGCAGUGUUCUCCGUGCACACCUAGAAAGAUUUGUUCUCUAAACACUCACAGGAGCUCAAGCUGAAUGCUCUUGUCCAGGCGUGGGACAUAGAUGAUGCUACUGCAGUGGGCACAAGGGGAGACCUGGAGCAGCAUUCUGCCUGAUAGUAUUGAAGGUCAUGCCAAUUCAGACCAUACUACAUCACGUAAGAACAGAAAGUGUUGUAAAGUCUUAAGGUAACGGGCAGGUAACAUGGCUCAGUGGAUGAAGGUCUCCAAGUCUGAUGACCUGAGUUUAAUCCCAGAGACUCACAGGGUGAGCGCAAAAGGCAACUCUGCAAGUUGUUUCUCUGACGUCCAUGCGCAUCAUGACAUUUACACGCCCACAUAUGUGUGAGCACACACGCACAGUAGAUAAAUAAGUGUAAUAAAAAACCUUAACUUAAAAGUCACGUGGGCUCUCGGAGUGGGGCUCCGUUGACAGAGAGUUUCUCUAGCAUGUACUAAGCCCUGGGUUCCAUAGCCUGUGCUACGUGAGCCAAGUGUAGCAGAGUAUGCAGGCUAUCCCAGUGCUAAGGAUCAGAAGUUUAAGUCUGAGGCCAGCCUGGGCUACAUGAGACCCUGACUCAAAUUCAGGAAGGAAGGAAGAAAUAGCAGGUAGCACUUUCAUGUGUUCAAGGUGGGAAUGUAAAUCGUUGGUAUCAAAGGCUGAAAAAUUAGAUCUCCAAGCACCGGGGUUACAGCUCAGUAGUAGAGGGUUUGGCAAGCAUGUGAAAGGCCCCACUCCACUUCCACCCCAACCCCACCCCCAAGGACUAAAAAUACCCCAAUAUAAAUAUUAGGCCUCAAACCAUGUUUUAAUAAGAUUGUAUUAUGAGGGGGGAAACAAAAAGAACACAUGUUUUCACUAUCGACAAGAAAGCCAGGGAGCCCCACAGAUCUAAUCAGUAAUUAAGGACUACAGUGUAGUUAGUUUUCAUUUUCUUUCUGCCGGGUUAGAUUUACAAACUGGUAUUUAAUAAACAGACGUCGUUUGGUGGCUAGAGAAACUGUUUUCUUUAAAAAAAAAAAAAUCUCUGUUUUGUUGUGUCUACUAGGGAGGGUGGCCUUGUGUAAGGGGCUUGGUGAAUAUUCCCGGUGGCUCCUUUGGAAUUCAAACUCGGUCCCCUUUAAGAGGCUUAGAAAGCUGGGGUAGCGAACAAACCCUCUCCUAAAGUCUCCUGCCUCUGCAGGUGACUGUGUGUUUGUCUUUAGAUAAAAUGAACAAACCUGCAUGGGUUUGGCAGUAAUACUGCUAAUGAAAUAGGGCCGGCUCUUUCCUGCCCUGCAUGGAAAUUUAAGGGUCCAGGGAGAAGACCCAGAAGAGACCAUCUGGAAUCGAUCAUCCCUGGCCUUAAGCCUUUGCCUACCUUCCUGCCCCCACCAGCAGAUGCGGUUGCCCAACUCCCCGCUGGGCAGGAAUCUGGCUUCUUCCUCAAUGCUAACUCCUCCCUUCCCAUCCCAGGCCUGGAAGUAACAAUGGCUUUUGUAUAGUUCCGAAACUAUGUUUUAUCAACUCUGUUUCUUUACAAAAGUUGUGUGUACACAUGAAACAAUCGAUGUCGAAGGCUAUCUAACACUAAUACU
rnacentral:lncRNA from 1 species